rnacentral:misc_RNA from 1 species
CAGCAGAACGACCCGUGAACAUGUUACCAUACCCGGGUGAGGGACGGGGGGAGCGCAAGUUCCCCAAGUCACGAACCUACGGUCGGGGAUCGCCCUCGGGUGGUCCUCGCCUGAACAACGACCCCCCGGCGCGAAAAGCGCCAAGGAAAUCAAACUGAACUGAACGCUUCUCACCCGUUUGCGGGCGACAGAGGCGUCUUUCUAAAUCACAAACGACUCUCGGCAACGGAUAUCUCGGCUCUCGCAUCGAUGAAGAACGUAGCGAAAUGCGAUACUUGGUGUGAAUUGCAGAAUCCCGUGAACCAUCGAGUCUUUGAACGCAAGUUGCGCCCGAAGCCAUUAGGCUGAGGGCACGUCUGCCUGGGCGUCACGCAUGACGUCGCCCCCCCAACCUCGCACUCGCUCGUGGGAGUUGUUGCGAAGGGGCGGAUACUGGCCUCCCGUGCCUCACCGCAUGGUUGGCCCAAAUGUGAGUCCUUGGCGACGGACGUCACGACAAGUGGUGGUUGUAAAAAGCCCUCUUUCUCCUGUCGUGCGGUGGCGUGUCGCCAGCAAGAACUCUCGUGACCCUGUUGUGCCGUUCUCUA